CUUAAAAAACAUAAGAAACCACCAACAAACGAAUAUAGUGACCUUCAUAAUUUGCUUCCAAAUUUGGUUUCCAAUAGCUCCUCUUCUACUGUUUAUGAAUAUUAUUUUGCAAUGAGUUAUAUUAUUUGCUAUAAAAAUACGCUCUUUCCGCCAAUGAACUGGGCCUACACACUAGUCACGAAGGAGCUGGAAUUCAA